rnacentral:rRNA from 1 species
CACGCCGUAAACGAUGAGUGCUAGGUGUCGGAGGCGACAGUCUUCGGUGCCGCAGUUAACGCAUUAAGCACUCCGCCUGGGGAUUACGAUCGCAAGAUUGAAACUCAAAGGAAUUGACGGGGGCCCGCACAAGCAGCGGAGCAUGUGGUUUAAUUCGAAGCAACGCGAAGAACCUUACCAGAACUUGACAUCCCUCGGACCGCUUUAGAGAUAAAGCCUUCCCUUCGGGGACUGAGGUGACAGGUGG